CGGCAACAGCUCAAAUUUGAAAUCUGGCCCCCCGCGGGCCCGAGUUGUACUUUGGAGAGGACGCUUCUGGCGCGGCGCCGUCCGAGUUCCCUGGAACGGGACGCCGGAGAGGGUGAGAGCCCCGUACGGGCGGCCGCCUAGCCUCUGCGAAGCUCCUUCGACGAGUCGAGUAGUUUGGGAAUGCUGCUCAAAAUGGGAGGUAAAUUUCUUCUAAAGCUAAAUACCGGCCAGAGACCGAUAGCGCACAAGUAGAGUGAUCGAAAGAUGAAAAGCACUUUGAAAAGAGGGUCAAACAGUACGUGAAAUUGUUGAAAGGGAAGCGCCUGUGGCCAGACUUGCGCCCCGCGGACCACCCGGCGCCUCGCGCGCCGGGGCACGCCAGCGGGGCGCAGGCCAGCAUCGGCUCUCUCGGGGGGACAAAGGCCGCGGGAACGUAGCGCCCUCGCGGCGUAUUAUAGCCCGCGGCGCCAUGCCCCCGGGGGGGCCGAGGACCGCGCUCCGGCAAGGAUGCUGGCGUAAUGGCCACCGGCGACCCGUCUUGAAACACGGACCAAGGAGUCAAGCAUUGGGGCGAGUGUCUGGGUGGCAAGCCCGCACGCGGAAUGAAAGUGAACGCAGGUGGGAGCUUCGGCGCACCACCGACCGAUCCUGAUGUCCUCGGAUGGAUUUGAGUAGGAGCCCCGCCGCUUGGACCCGAAAGAUGGUGAACUAUGCCUGUAUAGGGUGAAGCCAGAGGAAACUCUGGUGGAGGCCCGCAGCGGUUCUGACGUGC
rnacentral:rRNA from 1 species